rnacentral:sRNA from 1 species
GCAUAACCAAACCGUUGUCCUUCGUGCA